rnacentral:rRNA from 1 species
GGGCCCGCACAAGCGGUGGAGCAUGUGGUUUAAUUCGAUGCAACGCGAAGAACCUUACCUACUCUUGACAUCUACAGGAUCCUGCGGAGACGCGGGAGUGCCUUCGGGAACUGUAAGACAGGUGCUGCAUGGCUGUCGUCAGCUCGUGUUGUGAAAUGUUGGGUUAAGUCCCGCAACGAGCGCAACCCUUAUCCUUGUUUGCCAGCGAGUAAUGUCGGGAACUCCAGGGAGACUGCCGGUGAUAAACCGGAGGAAGGUGGGGACGACGUCAAGUCAUCAUGGCCCUUACGAGUAGGGCUACACACGUGCUACAAUGGCGCAUACAGAGGGCAGCAAGCUAGCGAUAGUGAGCGAAUCCCAAAAAGUGCGUCGUAGUCCGGAUUGGAGUCUGCAACUCGACUCCAUGAAGUCGGAAUCGCUAGUAAUCG